rnacentral:rRNA from 1 species
UGGGGAAUAUUGCACAAUGGGGGAAACCCUGAUGCAGCGACGCCGCGUGAGUGAAGAAGUAUUUCGGUAUGUAAAGCUCUAUCAGCAGGGAAGAAAAUGACGGUACCUGACUAAGAAGCCCCGGCUAACUACGUGCCAGCAGCCGCGGUAAUACGUAGGGGGCAAGCGUUAUCCGGAAUUACUGGGUGUAAAGGGUGCGUAGGUGGUGCGGCAAGUCAGAAGUGAAAGCCCGGGGCUCAACUCCGGGACUGCUUUUGAAACUGUCGGACUGGAGUGCAGGAGAGGUAAGCGGAAUUCCUAGUGUAGCGGUGAAAUGCGUAGAUAUUAGGAGGAACACCAGUGGCGAAGGCGGCUUACUGGACUGUCACUGACACUGAGGCACGAAAGCGUGGGGAGCAAACAGGAUUAGAUACC